GGGCUCAUAGCUCAGUUGGUUAGAGCGUUGCGUUGACAUCGCAAAGGUCAGUGGUUCAAGUCCACUUGGGCCCA
rnacentral:tRNA from 2 species